GAAAGGUCUGCUCCUGUAGCUUCCUCAGCGGACGCACUAUCCAUGCUGCCCGGGGAGGGCCAGUAGUAGUGCCCGCACCUAACGGCGCCGUAGGACGGCAUGGCCAGGGGAGCAGAUCAAGAAAAGGACAAAGUUUCUCCUUUCUACUGACAACCCUGCUGCUUAAUCACCUGAGAAUUACUGGUUAAUGUGACCCAUUGUUAACCGUGAAGAGGCAGACUUGAACAGAGGGACCGUGGAAGCAGGCCGGCAGGAAAUCUGGAGUGUCAAAAUAAGGUGGAAAGAAAGCUAGUGAGACCACGCAGAUGGGCCUGUUCUUUCUUUAUCAGCCCUUCUUUGCACUAACGCUUGCUACAUACAGAAAUGCUGAAGUGCUUUAUUUGUAGGGACAGAGACCUCCACUCUAUCUGGUCCUUACCCCCAUCGGUCCACCGUCUCCCUUCCUCCAAGACUGGCUCUUGCACACACAUUCAUGUGUGAUUAGCAACUGUUAGAGCCUGAGGCUCCCUGGCUGGCACCCGCUCUACAUCUGAAUGGCAGCCGGUGAAACCCAGUGCUGUUCGACGGGAUCUGCAAGUGCAUAUUGUCUGGGACUGACGGAAGAAAAAGAUUUACCUGCUUUUGUCUAACAAUAUUUAUGUGGCCGACUUUGCUGAGAUGGGAAAGAUAAAGGGACAAAAGGAAGAA